rnacentral:rRNA from 1 species
GUGAACGCUGGCGGUAGGCCUAACACAUGCAAGUCGAACGGCAGCACAGUAAGAGCUUGCUCUUACGGGUGGCGAGUGGCGGACGGGUGAGGAAUACAUCGGAAUCUACUUUUUCGUGGGGGAUAACGCAGGGAAACUUACGCUAAUACCGCAUACGACCUACGGGUGAAAGCCGGGGAUCUUCGGACCUUGCGCGAUUGAAUGAGCCGAUGUCGGAUUAGCUAGUUGGCGGGGUAAAGGCCCACCAAGGCGACGAUCCGUAGCUGGUCUGAGAGGAUGAUCAGCCACACUGGAACUGAGACACGGUCCAGACUCCUACGGGAGGCAGCAGUGGGGAAUAUUGGACAAUGGGCGCAAGCCUGAUCCAGCCAUACCGCGUGGGUGAAGAAGGCCUUCGGGUUGUAAAGCCCUUUUGUUGGGAAAGAAAAGCAGCAGGUUAAUACCCCGCUGUUCUGACGGUACCCAAAGAAUAAGCACCGGCUAACUUCGUG